rnacentral:lncRNA from 1 species
ACAGUGCUCAGCACUCAGGAUUGAUCACAUGUACGUUGUGUUCCUGCUAACCAGGCCCUGACUCCCAGCUCACUCCUCCUGUGAAGAGAAGCCCUUUACUCCGUCCUCCUCAGGGAACCCUACAGAAAGCUUCCCACCUGCAGUACCUUUGUGCACCAGCAUGCUUCAAAUGGGUGUCAGGAGUACAGUGUGUGCUGUUCUCAACGAACGCCCCCCUCCCAGCACCCUUUAGGUGCUGUGGAUGCCCCUGAAACAAGGCCUCAGACUUGGCUUGGACUAUGGGUUCCAUCCAUAGGGUUGGCCUCAUUGAUCAGCGUUACAGGAAGGCUUCGAGGUGGCUCCCUGUGACCGUGUUGUGAGCAAACCAUUCCUGGCAUCCCACCUUGCAGAACUUGUGGAGAAGAAACAAAAAUAACCCAUAAUCCCACUGUUUUGAUGCCACUUACUGAUAUUUGAAAAGAGGUAAAAAUAAAAUAUGAAGACAGAAAAUCCCAUCAUGUAUCCAAAGGCAUGAAUGAAAAGAAAGAGCCUUCUACCAGGACCUCCUGCACCACCCAAGAGUGCCAUUUUCUCAGGGGCUGAGAAGAGCCCCUCCAACAGGGCAGUGACCCGCUUGCCACAACCCACCUUGGCAAAAGCAGUGGAUAUGCCCCAGGACUCCAGGAAGCAGUGUGGCCUCAGAGAGCUUGGUGAGAAAUGUGUGUGGGAAGCAAAGGGCAGCUGAUGACUCACUGCAUGCCCUUAACUCAGUCUCUUCGACUCCUGAAGCCUCAGUUUCCCCACCUGGGGUAUGGUGAUAAUCACCCACUCAGCCACGAUGCUGGGGAGUGCUAACAGUGCCUCCUGCAGCCACCUCCCAGAUAAACCACCAGUACUCCCAUCCUUGUUGGAGGGCCUGUUUUUAGGAAAACCCUGACUAAGGCAGGAAGCUCCCCGCACUGCAGCAGAGGGAGUCAGGAUGCUGAGCUCUGGGUGCCCCAGCUGUCUGGCUCACCAGCCAUGAGAUGCCAGGUAUGCCCCUUGACUUCUCAGAGCCUGUUUCUGCAUUUGUAACAGGAGGGUUAAUGCUCCACAGUUCUGUGAUUCUGCUUCUUAAAUGCUGGAAGAAUUAAAUUCAUUCAGGGUUGCCACCAGGCAGAAGCACAGGCUAUAUGCUAUA